AGUAAGACACUUAUGUUGCUAAGCAACGGGUGAAAGUCUCAAACAAGAUUUCAUAUGAAUCUUUUAUAAAGUGAGGAAAGAAAGCAUCAGCAAGUAUGAUACAAAUUUUGGCAUGGCAACAUGCGUACUUCAUCAAAUUCAUACAAGACUACAAAGUCACAGAUGGAAUUCAAGGAUUUAUAUGAUCCCUUACAAUGCUUAGCAACGUGAGAAUUGCAAUCUUAAGGGAAUACGGUGCAAUCUUUCUCAAGAAUAUCAUACGGAGUUUUCCCUACUCCGAUCUUGCCAUCACGUAUUUUAUCGCGAUUGUCGUGUGUUAGAGGGAUUGUCAAGAGAACCGACUCAGAUUGAGGUCAUUGGAGGCUAUUUAGUUGGUGUUUUUUUAUACGUUGCAAGGUUGGAGAACUUUCCGUUAGCGAGAUUAGAGCAGUUUUGAUUAUUGAGGUAAUCAAAGAGACAAUGUCAAGGCGACGACGCAAAAUUUGGAGAGCUUGAAUAUAUUUGAUGUCGUUAUACCGGGUUCUACUUUCUUAACUUUAUUUAUUAUUUGUUUCUCUAUUACGGGCUUAUUAUUUUCUUAUGAAGUCUUAAAUUCUAUGAAUGAUAGGGUAAAUAUCUCAUAAAAGCGAUUACCUCAAAAUAUAUCAUGUAUGCAUCAUGUUAAUUAUUAUUAAAAAUAGCAUAUUUAAUGGUUAUAGUUGUUAUUAUAUGAAAAAAUGCAAAUAAUUAGUUGGCAUAUAGAUAUGUCACCUACAUGAAAUUAUGUGAAUUUUAAUUUCAAGAAGUAGAGUGACAUGAAGUAUAUUAUUUGAGAAGAAUUAUCGCUACACUUAA